GCCGGGCAUGGUGGCGCACACCUGUAGUCCCAGCUACUCAGGAGGCUGAGGCAGGAGAAUCGCUUGAACCUGGGAGGCGGAGGUUGCGGUGAGCCGAGAUCGCGCCACUGCACUCCAGCCUGGGCGACAGAGCGAGACUCCGUCUCAAAAAAAGAGUAUUAAUAAAAUAUACUUUUUUUUUUUUUGAGACAGAGUCUCGCUCUGUCGCCCAGGCUGGAGUGCAGUGGCGCGAUCUCGGCUCACCGCAAGCUCCGCCUCCCAGGUUCACGCCAUUCUCCUGCCUCAG
rfam:Homo sapiens chromosome 6 genomic contig, GRCh38 reference assembly alternate locus group ALT_REF_LOCI_6.